CAGUCGCCGCGGUAAUACGUAGGUGGCAAGCGUUGUCCGGAAUUAUUGGGCGUAAAGGGCUCGCAGGCGGUUUCUUAAGUCUGAUGUGAAAGCCCCCGGCUCAACCGGGGAGGGUCAUUGGAAACUGGGAAAUUUGAGUGCAGAAGAGGAGAGUGGAAUUCCACGUGUGGCGGUGAAAUGCGUAGAGAUGUGGAGGAACACCAGUGGCGAAGGCGACUCUCUGGUCUGUAACUGACGCUGAGGAGCGAAAGCGUGGGGAGCGAACAGGAUUAGAGACCCCUGUAGUCCCUGUCUCUUAUAA
rnacentral:rRNA from 1 species